AUGAGACGCCUGAGCAGGCCUGAACGCCAGCUGCCUGGGCACCAUAGUGAAGGUAAUGGGAUAAUCCAGCUGCCUGGGCACCAUAGUGAAGGUAAUGGGAUAAUCCAGCUGCCUGGGCACCACAGUGAGGGUUAUGGGAUAAUCCAGCUGCCUGGGCACCACACUGAAGGUAAUGGGAUAAUCCGGCUGCCUGGGCACCACACUGAAGGUAAUGGGAUAAUCCGGCUGCCUGGGCACCACAGUGAGGGUUAUGGGAUAAUCCAGCUGCCUGGGCACCAUAGUGAAGGUAAUGGGAUAAUCCAGCUG
rnacentral:lncRNA from 1 species